rnacentral:rRNA from 1 species
UACGUAGGGUGCGAGCGUUGUCCGGAAUUAUUGGGCGUAAAGAGCUCGUAGGCGGUCUGUCGCGUCUGCUGUGAAAUCCCGAGGCUCAACCUCGGGCUUGCAGUGGGUACGGGCAGGCUAGAGUGCGGUAGGGGAGAAUGGAACUCCUGGUGUAGCGGUGAAAUGCGCAGAUAUCAGGAGGAACACCGGUGGCGAAGGCGGGACUCUGGGCCGAUACUGACGCUGAGGAGCGAAAGCGUGGGGAGCGAACAGG